UUAUCAUACUCAUUUUCUCUGUGCCAACACGGUGUGUGUAUGAUGCUUGCUCUUUUGCUAGAUGACAUUGAUGAGAUGAGGAUCUACUAUAUCUUGAACGAAGGCAGCAAGGCAACUAAAGACAUCUUCUACUUCUCGGCUGAAGACAAUGCUGAGCCUUCUUCAACCAGGGCCAUUCCAAGUACAAAGUCACGCAAUACUGGGCCUGCUGUUUCUACACCACCACGAGGUUUGUUGAUGUUUUAAAACAGUUUUUCUCUGGAGUCACUGUUAUGAUGCUCUACUUAAUGGGACUGACUACUGCAGGGAAACUGACAAAGACCAAGAAAUGGAAGCAAAAUAGACAAAGUCUCUCUCCUCUACAGGAACUCUCACUUCUGGAAUGUUGCACAAGAAUAAUACUGUAGAUUAAAGAAAUUAAAGCAUUCUAGAAAAACACAUAAAUGAUGAAUGUGAGCAUGAAAUGGUAGGCCAGGUAUAAGGAACCCAGUAGUGCAGUGGUGAAAGGGGCUUAUGGUCAAACAUGGCUGGACUCAGCCCUGAGCUUGGCCCUGUCCCAGGUGCUGACCCUGAGUGGAUUGAACCCUGAGUUCUCCAAAAGGUCAUUGUCAUCUUAAUUUUAAAAUGCGGCUCAUUACACCUAUCUCACAGUGUUUCUCUAAGGAUUAAAUAAGAAAAUAUGUGUAAAAUUGCUUGACUGAGAGCCCAAUACAUCAUACGUGCCCAGUUAAGUAUAAUCCAUCUGGGUCCUGAGAUAAGGAUGAUCAGGUGGCAUUCACUCUCUCUCUCUGAUUACUCUUCUAUGGGGAAGAAGAUGACUUAGAAAGAGCAGGUUGAAAGCAGAAAAGAAGAAGGUCUUUUGUAGGUGGGAUUUCAGCAGGGUCCUCUGGAUUUAAAGUAAAGCCUCACAGAAGACUUAGCAUAGCUCCUGGAUCAUUAGCUAGUGGAAACACUGAGAAAAAGGGAAGCAAUGGGUUUUCAGAAGGACAGAGACCAAGAGAGGAAAAUUAGGCUAAGUGCUUAGAAUCAAUUACUAACUUCUGGGUCCAGUUAAAUAAUCUACUUUUCAAAGUGAUUUCAGUGUGAAGCCCACAUGAUAGUGUCAAACCAGAGAACAUUCAUGGGUCCACUGCAGACACACACAGCACACAUGCCAUGAAUCCUGUAAACAGUGAGCGGCGAAAGAAUGACCCACUGUAAUCACGUCUUUGACGAG
rnacentral:lncRNA from 1 species